GACGAACCGUGCGAGCGUUGUUCGGAAUCACUGGGCUUAAAGGGCGCGUAGGCGGGCUGACAAGUCUGGGGUGAAAUGCCGCGGCUCAACCGUGGAACUGCCUUAGAUACUGUCGGCCUCGAGGAAGGUAGGGGCAUGCGGAACUGUAGGUGGAGCGGUGAAAUGCGUUGAUAUCUACAGGAACUCCGGUGGCGAAAGCGGCGUGCUGGACCUUUUCUGACGCUGAGGCGCGAAAGCUAGGGGAGCAAACGGG
rnacentral:rRNA from 1 species